CCCAAGUCCACUUAACACUGCAAUGUGAAAUAUUGCCUAUUCUGUGAAACUGCAAAAAUUUUCUUGCAAGAUUAACUCCUCCUCUAUUGCCUAUCUAUCAGCCAGCCACCAGAGGCACUUCAGGGUCCUUAAAAUAUAACUAUGUGAAAUAACAAUGGACAUCCUUAUGCUUUGCAUAAGACAACCAGGCUAUUUAAAAACCCUACAGAAACACAUUGAGUAAAUGCUUUCCGAUGGGGAAGCCUAAAUGCAUGCGCUGGAAGGACCUGAUGUUGGCAGAGCCUGAACCAGCAAUCAGG